rnacentral:rRNA from 1 species
UGAUGUGGGAUAAAUGUGACUUAUGCAAGCCUGAUCCUGUCUGAUCUUGGAAGCUAAGCAGGGUUGGGCCUGGUUAGUACUUGGAUGGGAGACCACCUAGGAAGACCAGGUCCUGUAGGCA